ACAUCACUUUAAUUUUUUUGUUUUAUUCCUUGUUUUUCUCCAUACCAUCCUUUGUAGCACAAAUGUUCUGUCUUCUUGACAAAAACAAUGUUCAUCCAGUUAAAAAGUUUAGAUUUGAGGUGAAAGUUGAUGACAUUGAAGAUGGCAAUGGUGCUAACAUCUUUGCAUAUGGAUUUGACUUAUCAAGAGAAAGAACAAGUGGAUGCUAUUUCCAUGAAUGGAGAGACAUUGUGGUGGCAUAGCACCUGGCCUUAAAGUUUUUCACAAAAAUGGUGUAACAGUC